UAAAACGACGUAUCACAAGCUAUGGCUUACCAUUUGAAAUUUUAAAAAUGCAAUCGUUUUAACCUUUAAAUGUCAAAGGUCAAAAUGCUAAAUUAACAUAAAAAGUUUUCAUUACUAGGAAUAUACAAGCAACAGAUUGCCUUUGUGUCAAGCAAAUUUUCCUACAUACCACUUUGAUAAUACAUAUUACAGAUUCGUCACGUUUGCGGGAGAUGAUGCAUGUUUAUGAAUUAGAAUUUUCAAAAAUAGUUCGUGACACGAUCGAGAUGUCCGAAUCCUAGUACCAUCGAUGGAACCACAAAAACCAUUCCGUCAUCGUCAUCGUCAUCCACAUCGCAUUCCGUCAUAAGUGUUUU